ensembl:lncRNA
AGAAUGGCUCUUAGCACGUUGUAAAUCGGCUUAUUUGAUGACAUUUAUGAAGUAAAUCUGUGUCAUCGGAUUUUGAAAGAAAAAGGUGAUUGAAUUUCUAGCACUGAUUAUUUAUGCAUUGAAAUCAUGUAUCUGAAUGUUUUUCAACGUUAAAAUAUUCAACCGCAAAAAAUUCAACCACAAAAAAUUCAAAUGAUGUUGCGGUUUGAAUUUUUUUGCAUUGCAUUUUUUUCCAUUUGUUCUUUUGAGUUGUAUCUUAUAUUUGUGUUAAUUAUACAUGGUUUAUGCUCCCAUUGUCAGAUGUGACUAUCAAUGCACCAGAUGAACAGUCCAUCAUGACGUAUGUGUCACAGUUCCUAGAGCACUUCCCUGGCAGAGAGGAGCCGGAGGAGCCCGUCCCGCCGAUCGAACGGAGUGUCUCCAUGGGCCGACUCAACUUGCGCGAGAAGGACUCCAACCACAUAAGGAAUAGUAUCCAGCAAAGCCGAGUGAAGGAGAGGUCCCACAUGUUUCAAAGGGUCUGUACCCAAUCGCCACCCAGAAUCCUGAUUUCCUCAGUGUCAGAGGACCGGAGUGCCAUGUCCCCCCCCUUCCGGCCAGCUGCAGCUCGCUCGUGGUCCAGUGAAGAUAUCUUAGCGGAUUCCCCCCACAUGGAAGAAAUCUCAAGCAGUGUGGCCGAAAAGCCCCAAGAAUCUGCCAGUGACGUCUCGACCAACUCAACCUCGAAGUCCCCAGAAUUGUCUUACGCUCACUCACCCACAGGCUCAUCGCUGCCUGAGUCCGUCACCUCCGAGCCGAUGAUUGGCGACUCAGCAAUAAGCUCACCGGACUCGUGGGUGGAGAGCGAGUUGGGGGGGGAUGCAGGAGAGGCUUUGUGAGAGUGACAGUUCUUUGUGUGACAGUGGAACAGCCUGGGAUGUGUAUCGUGCCACUCCUGUGGAGGUCACUAAUCUGGAUGAAGGAUGCGUCCUAUCCAUGGAGGAAAGGGCACCCGAGGAGGAGUCCAUUCCAGAGUCGUACGUGGACGAAGGCAUUUGCUCACUGGGCUCAUUGGAGAGCCCCGUGCAGAAAAGUCAAGGGGAUUUUGAGAAGAAGCAGCCGGAAGUAGUGGAAGAGAAAGAGGAGGUGCACCUUGAGAAGUACAACCAGGACAUGCCUGUGGAAAAGGUACCCGAUCAUUGCAAGGCUGAGAUUGCAGAAGAAGAACCGAGUGAACAGACGAUACAGGAUACCAGUCAGAGCAGGGAGCCGGAGCCUUCUGUAGGACUCUGCAACGCAGUGGAACUGACCAGCUCAGCUGUGGAAAAGCUCCAUGAAAGUGAUCAUUCUAACCAGUCGCAACCCAAGAAAAACAACGUUGGAGACAGGCCUGUGGACCUCAUUGAGGGUGCAAGGGAUCACGAAGGACAAAUUGUAGGUCUGAAUGAGAGCGGUAACUCUGAGGAACUUCAAGGGGAAACUGAAUGUCAGGAAAGACAAGAAAAUACAAUGAUUGAUGAUGUUGGAGAAACACGAGAGGAAGCAAGUGAAGAAGUUCUAAGAGAAGACCUGAAUGCACAAGAGAACUUUAGUUCGGAGACAUUAGCAAACACGGAUCCAACCAGCCAAGACAGAGCUCCAGAAACAAGUCUGGACCCAACCGCUGGCAGAAAUGUUCCUCUGAUCUCGAUUUCAAGUGAGCCAGAAGAGCAGAACCUAGAGGGAAUAUGUGACCCAGAAAGACAACAUCCUGCUUGGCAAGAUGAGGUACAGCCAGAAGGAACUGACCCAGAUGUCGACUGCCCCCCAAAUCCACAUGAAAACAACCUUGACUUCAAUUACAAUGUGGACAUUCCAUUGUGUCCGGUAACAGAAAGUGAUCAACCAAAAGCUUCAGAACAAACAGGGGACAGGGAAAGCCAACAUUUGGAUGAACAUGGAACCAGUCAGAACAUCGGCGAGCCCGACACAGGAGAUAAAAUGACAUUGAGUGAAUGUGAAUUAACUUGUCAGACUUCUUCAGAAGCCACACCGGUGAAUGCCGAGCAGGAAAUGGAUUCCACCGAUCAGCCGGAUGGACACAAGGACACAGCCGCCACCGAGCAGAACACACCCGAUUCUGUGAACUCAAAACCAAACGAGCCACCAGAUGCUGAGACGCAGAGUUGGCCUUCGGUUUUGAGUGUAUCCGCCCUCAAGCCAGCUCCUGCUUCGGAGACUCAAGCCGAUCAGCCCUCCAGCCUGCUGGGUGAAGACUUCAGCCAUGGAGCGGAUUGGACCCAAGAGAACGACGAGCUGAUCCCGAAGACCAACCAGGACACUGACGCGGCAUCUAAACCCCAGGAACUGUGUGUGCUGCCCGGGGAGACGACAGGAGGACUCUGGGGGGACGACGCUCCAGCAGACGGCAGUGAUCUCAGGACCUCGGGCCGUGCCAGGGAAAACACAGAGCCUGUGAGUGAAGGUUCCAUCAGACAGGAUGAAAGCCAGAUCCCUCCAGUCCUCCGGCACAGGAAGGCCGCUCGCUCCACCGAGUCCACGGGCGAUCGGCCGGCUGUGACAGCAGCGAGCAGCGGAGACGACAAUGGCGACUCCGACUCCGGGUGCAGUGACAGCUGGGAGCUCUACGUGCUGCUGCUGCUCUGGCUGCUGCUCUACUGCUUCUGGCUGCUGCCCCAGAUGGACCUGAAGACACUUCCCAGCCUGCUGCUCAACCUGGAGCCCUGAACGCACACACACACACACACACACACACACACACACACACGUAAAGCACCACCACCAAAUCGCACACUACAGUCCUGAAGAGGAGGAGUUGUUUUAGCUUUGUGCUGUGCAGCUUUCCAUGUGGCUCGGAGGCGUCUGUAUCUCCACGUUCUGGGGAAUAUUAUGAGAAAAGCGUUGUCGUUUUACAGGAUGAAAAGUCAUAACUUAUCAACAAUAACGUUUGAACUAUUCGUUAAGUCAGAUUAAAAGAAAUACUUGUAUUAUUAGAAACUUGGCUUUUAUUUUAGGAGUCUAUGGUUUUGAGAAAAGUCAGUGCUGUUAAAGUAAAUGUAAAAUAUUUUUGUGUUAUUAGAUUUUGUUUUAUGAUCAUUAUUAUUCAAAUAUAAAGAAACGAUAUCAUCGUAGUUAUAGAUCGUAGCCAAAGACCUGUAAUAAACAACCAGAAGCGAGACGUUUUCCUUCUUAAAGGUGUGACUUUAUUUAACAUUAGAACUUCUUCUCAUGACGUUGUUGUUUUGGUCCAAAUGUUGCAGUUAAAAUGGGAAAACCUGAUUUGUAAUUUACGACGGUUCAAAGGCGACACGACUGACAUUGUGAGACAACACGUACAGCACUCUGAUUGGUACAUGGAGAUAUAUACUAUGGACUCAUGGACUGAAUAGCCAUUUAAAGUGAAAGUGCUUUAAGCUGAGGGAGAUUAGAACAUUCAAACAUGCAAACCUGUAGGUGAUCUGAAGGUAACUAAUGAAGGGGGAUUUUGAUCCGUUGCACAUCGUGAAAAAGAAUCAGAACUGCCAAAGAAAUGCUUGAGAGAUGAGUAUAAGACAUAUGCAUUAACGACAUGUAUACGCUCAAUACGGUAUCCAUGCCAACGAAAAGUACACAACAACCUGUUUUUAACAAAGUCAAUCUGGUACUAAAGCUCCGCCCCAGUGGCUCUAUAUUGUAUCAUAGUCGAGCAGAACAUGUAUUUGUAAUAUUUUGUGUCUUAUAAUGGAUUUUUAACGUUUUAUUGUAAAGAAAUGUUUUAUGUGAUUGAGACUUGCUUGUGAAAAGAGAAUGCUUUACGAUGAAAUAUCUUUAUAUACAUAUAUGCUAUUUUUGAACAUUGUCUGACAGAGCGCGCCUCCUUCACCCCGUCCUUCCUCCACCUACAGCUCCUCCACCCGCACUCGGCCGGGUCAUCGUCAGCCCGUCUCCCGUGUGAGUGCUGGACGUCCGGUUGCACUUUAACCCUCGUUAGAGCCAAACUGUCCCUUCUAUUGAUCAGCAUAAAGCACACAUGCAACUGUCUGUGGAACACGUGAAGCGCCUGCCAAUGUUACCGUGCUGCUGGGAAGGAACUGAGAAGGAACGCUCAUGAAAUGAUGCAUUAGCUUCGCUAUUAUGUAUGAAUGUUUUGCCUUUUUGUCAGAUGUGUUUAUAAAAAAAAUAGUUCCUCACUAAAAAAAGUUCCAUUUUUUUUUAAUAUUCUUUUACCAAAUGAGUUUGUAGUAAUACCUUCUGCACUAUACUGUCUCUGAAUAGACCUUUGAGUCACCCUGACGGGAAGGGGACACAGCUCCGUUUACAAAAGAGGUCCAAGGGCUCGAGGAGCUUCACGUCCACCCGUGGAGGUCAGGCUGAAGGUCCUACUCAGGCCCCUCAGGUUCCAGCCUCUUUCACCACAAAUGAAUCACACCUCCACACGCUGCUGCCCGCCACAUGUGUCCGGUGCCUUCAACAAAAACAUGUCCAACCACCGGGACAGUCCCUUGAGUCUGAGACAAAAGGGCAGUUUGAGGUCUUUACAAGGGGACUGUGUGUGUCUUUGUGUCUCCUCCACCCAGAGGACUAACCUAGACGCACAUAUUGGCUUAGUCAUUGCAAAUGUUUCAUCAGCACCAGUGGACUGCGAUUAAAGACGUGUCUCAAAGCCGUUGUCUCUAGUUGUGAAUGCUUUGGAUUCAGGGGAACUGACUGAUUCAUCUGGGGAGUAUUUGUAUGAGUCUUGAGGUUAAGGAAAUGUCAGUUUGCACUGUUAGCUGCAAGCCGCCGUAUCAAUGUUUUUACGGGAAGCAGGAGGCUCGUGGAGACAAACCUCAGAUAAUUAGCAUUCUAAGCUCCAUCAAGCUUUUUGUUCUCUUUCAUCAACCCAGAAGAAAAGGCCCCACUUUGCUUCAGUCUCACAGCCUGAUGAGCCCGGGGCGAACACCUAAACCCUGUGGGAACUCUCAGAGUUGCUUUUAGCAUCAAGGCGUAUUGGACGAGUCCUAGAUGAGCCGUGAUGGAGGAAACCUCCCAGAGGAACUCUGAGUAAGUGAGGGACAGCCUUCAGAAUGUGAGCAUCUCUGGCUUCUCUAGUGAGAUCGGCCACAAGCGUUCUCUCUGCACCCGGUCUCGUCUUAACUUGUACGAGUUCUACAAUUCAGAGGAUUUUAAAUAGUUUUAGCUGAGUGCGGCGUACUGCUUCAAUAUUAGCAGAUGUCAGUCAGCGAUCUGCAGUCAGUUCAUGUAUGAAACGGCUGAAAUGAGCAGUUAAAACUACCAAUAUUUAGUGUAGUUAUUAUGAGGUGACCAUUUAUUUUGAAUGGUCGCUUUACAUGAACCUCGAACCACAAUUUCAGUUUUUGUUCUGUUCAUUUUUUGUUUCUUUACUAAACAUAGAUGUUUAAGGCCUGAUCAUUUAUUGUUUGGUACCGCUCCACUGCUGUGCUGUGUGUGUGUGUGUGUGUGUGUGUGUGUGUGUGUGUGUGUGUUGCCAUCUAGAGGACAUCAUGUAACACUGAACAGCCUCAGCGCGGCUGAACACAUUCAGGAGGUUUUUGUAAAUAUGGCAGUGAAGCGUCUGCUGCCCUUUGAUCGGACAUGGUAAAAACAUGGAUGAAUCUGCCAAUAUAUAUGUAACAUCUGCGAACAGUAAAAUAUGAAAAUUAACAAAUGCUUAUCAUGCACAUUUUUGGCAAUCGUUUGUUCUCUAUUAACAUAAGGGAUCCCCAACGUUCUUUUUCACUAGAAAUUUGAAAUGUGUUCAUGCGAAAAGAGAGUAUAUGUCCUUUGCAAGUGCCAUGAAGUGUUGAUUUAAACAAAUGUUAUUCUGUAAAUAUAUAUAUUAUACUUACAGAAUAACAUGUAUUUAUAUAUAUAUAUAUAUGUAUAUAUAGUAUCUAUAUAUAGUAGUAGCAUAUACAGUAAUCCCUCGUUUAUCGCGGGGGUUACGUUCCGAAAAUGACCCGCGAUAAGUGAAAUCCGCGAAAUAGAAAACUUUUUUUUUUUUUACAAUUAGCAACUAUUACAUGUAUACAAAUACAGUGACUCGCGUGUAGGCCGUUUCACUGCUCUUCAGACUGGGCCGCUGCAUCCUGACUGCGCUCUGCAGUGUUCUCUUCCUCUGAAGCCCGCGGUGCAGGUGUGUUUGUUCGGGAGAAGAACAUAGUGAUAGGCAGCUGUUGUCGCUCUUUUUUCUUCUUUGCAAAAAGAUCCUUGUACACCGACAUGCCACCAUCGAUUACGUUGGAGAACUGUAAUGAACGGCUCGGGAGUGAGUUUUUAGCGAAUCAGAAUGCAGAGCACAAUGCACCAAAAAAAAAAAAAAAUGCAAUAUGAAAAUCCGCGAAAUAGCGAAUCCGCGAUAAGUGAACCGCGAAGUGGCGAGGGAUCACUGUAUAUACAUAUAUGUAUAAAUACAGAUGAGCUGUUGUGCCUUGCUGCUUUAAUAUAAUAAGAUAAUGUGAGGUCAGUAACCGGGUUCUCCUGUCCAGUGAGAGGAACCUCCAGACUGUGAGCAGAUAUUCUCCUUCGCUUUAGUAAAACAGCGUGCGGUGUCACCGCUGGUUGUCACGCAGAUUACGUAGAUCUUUUGGCGUAGCAGAGGCCCGGGUGAAAAGAAGGGGUCCCACCGCGGAACGAGUAGCUAGAGCGAGAGCGACAGCAGCAGAUAUCCUAGGAACGAUUACAAGUAGUUUUUAGGCCUGACUGUAAAUUGAAAAGCAAACAUCAGGUGAGAUUCCCUACCAGGUCACAUACUUUGUGAAAUAACGUUACUCUGUUGCACGCGCUGGCCCUGCUAGGUGUUAGCUUGCUAGCUAAAGCUGGCUGACAUGGUGAUGGUGCAUGGGGGCUGUAGUCACCGCCCAGACGUUGUGUAGCUAAAUGCUGUAUGUAUUUAAAGGGGAAGCCGUGUUUCAGUUUGGCGGUUAGUCGCGCAGUCGGGAACAUGCGACCGCGCUCAGACAAACAUGUCUUUGACUAGCAGAAUAGAUCGAUAACUGGGUUCAGACAGGCGCAAUCCGUCAGCUGUACUACGCGCUAGCCAUGCUAGGUUAUGCUAACGCUACGUUGCUGAGGAGGUUUUCCAUUGCAGUCAGCGCGAUGUCAAUAUUUGGUCACUAACGCUGUGUUAGAGGCUAAUAGACUGCGAGGCAUUAUGUGGUUACUUCAGCCUGUCCGUACGAUAGAGUCCCUGCCAGCCUAAAGCAAAGUAACGCACUCAGUCAUUUGUCAUAUGGACAUGUUAACGUUAUUAGCUAGUGUAAGCUAGCAUCCCCCUGUUCAUACUAGCGUUAUAGCACCGACAAUGAGGCCAAUGCUCCCUACAGGGUUCGUUGUUCUGUAGUAUUAAAGUCCCGUCAAGCAAGUAUCCGCUCAUAUUUAAUUUAAUAUCUUUAACGUUAUGGUAAUGUUUAUUAAAAGUUCGCUCAAUGCUAAUAACUUGAAAUGCCUAGUUACUAGCAAGCUAAUGUGGCCAGUGUUACUCAGCAUGGUGUCUGCUAGUAACUGCAAAGUUAACUAAACGUUUGUGUUCACAAUUUGAGUUGGCAUGUUGGUCGGUGUUCACACAUUGAGCCUCCCACUCUUAAUGAAACUGCCAAUGAUAUGACGCAGGGUGUGUGCCUGCUAGAGCUGCCUUCCCCCGCCUGGCUUCCUUGUACUAAACUGAGGGGCCACGGCAGAUGUGAUGGCAGGUGUCAUGGCAGAUGUGAUGGCAGGUGUCAU